AGAUGGUGUGGCGUAGUGGUUGGAGCAUUGGACCACAACUCCGGAGACCAGGGUUUGAGUCCCUGCUCAGCUA